AACUUUCUUUGCGCGGGAGUGCGACCCGCAACACCGUUGAUCUGCGCGUUCAUCGACGAACACUGUGAGGAGUUCGGGGUCGUGCCGAUCUGCCGGGCACUGGCCGUGCACGGUGUGCAGAUCGCCCCG
rfam:Mycobacterium chubuense NBB4 plasmid pMYCCH.01, complete sequence.